rnacentral:rRNA from 1 species
AAAGUAGCGGCGAGCGAAAUGGGAAGAGCCCAAACCAGCGUGCGUGCAUGCUGGGGUUAAGGACUGCGUAAGCGAGCUGACUUGUUAAUGGAACUGUCUGGGAAGUCAGACCAAAGAGAGUGAAAGUCUCGUACAUGAAAACAAUAAGCAGCGGCAGGAUCCAGAGUACCACGAGACACGAGAAACCUUGUGGGAAGUCGGAGGGACCACCCUCCAAGGCUAAAUAC